rnacentral:rRNA from 1 species
GACAGAGUUUGAUCAUGGCUCAGAGCGAACGCUGGCGGCAGGCCUAACACAUGCAAGUCGAGCGGCCGUAGCAAUACGGCAGCGGCAGACGGGAGAGUAACACGUGGGAACGCGCCCUUCGGUUCGGAAUAACUCAGGGAAACUUGAGCUAAUACCGGAUACGCCCUUACGGGGAAAGAUUUAUUGCCGAAGGAACGGCCCGCGUCCGAUUAGCUAGUUGGUGAGGUAAUGGCUCACCAAGGCGACGAUCGGUAGCUGGUCUGAGAGGAUGACCAGCCUCACUGGGACUGAGACACGGCCCAGACUCCUACGGGAGGCAGCAGUGGGGAAUAUUGGACAAUGGGCGCAAGCCUGAUCCAGCCAUGCCGCGUGGAUGAUGAAGGCCUUAGGGUUGUAAAGUCCUUUUAACGGGGAAGAUAAUGACGGUACCCGUAGAAUAAGCCCCGGCUAACUUCGUGCCAGCAGCCGCGGUAAUAACCUAAAUAGC